GACGAACGCUGGCGGCGUGCUUAACACAUGCAAGUCGAACGGAAAGGCCCUGCUUUUGUGGGGUGCUCGAGUGGCGAACGGGUGAGUAACACGUGAGUAACCUGCCCUUGACUUUGGGAUAACUUCAGGAAACUGGGGCUAAUACCGGAUAGGAGCUCCUGCUGCAUGGUGGGGGUUGGAAAGUUUCGGCGGUUGGGGAUGGACUCGCGGCUUAUCAGCUUGUUGGUGGGGUAGUGGCUUACCAAGGCUUUGACGGGUAGCCGGCCUGAGAGGGUGACCGGCCACAUUGGGACUGAGAUACGGCCCAGACUCCUACGGGAGGCAGAAGUGGGGAAUAUUACACAAUGGGCGGAAGCCUGAUGCAGCAACGCCGCGUGCGGGAUGACGGCCUUCGGGUUGUAAACCGCUUUCGCCUGUGACGAAGCGUGAGUGACGGUAAUGGGUAAAGAAGCACCGGCUAACUACGUG
rnacentral:rRNA from 1 species